rnacentral:rRNA from 1 species
UUCCGGUUGAUCCCGCCGGAGGUCACUGCUAUCGGGGUUCGAUUAAGCCAUGCGAGUCGAGGGGGUUCAGACCCUCGGCGGACUGCUCAGCAACACGUGGAUAAUCUGCCCUAUGGUGGAGGAUAACCCCGGGAAACUGGGGAUAAUACUCCAUAAGUCAGGAGUACUGGAAUGUCUCCUAACUGAAAGUUUCGGCGCCAUAGGAUGAAUCUGCGGCCGAUUAGGUAGUUGUUGGGGUAACGGCCCAACAAGCCCGUAAUCGGUACGGGUUGUGGGAGCAAGAGCCCGGAGAUGGAAUCUGAGACACGAUUCCAGGCCCUACGGGGCGCAGCAGGCGCGAAAACUUUACAAUGCAGGAAACUGUGAUAAGGGAACCCCGAGUGCCCGUACACGCGGGCUGUCCCGGUGUUUAAAACACAUCGGAAGAAAGGGCCGGGCAAGACCGGUGCCAGCCGCCGCGGUAAUACCGGCGGCUCGAGUGGUGACCACUUUUAUUGGGCUUAAAGCGUUCGUAGCUUGAUUUUUAAGUCUCUUGGGAAAUCUCACGGCCUAACUGUGAGGAGUCUAAGAGAUACUGGGAAUCUAGGGACCGGGAGAGGUAAGAGGUACUUCAGGGGUAGAAGUGAAAUUCUGUAAUCCUUGAGGGACCACCGAUGGCGAAGGCAUCUUACCAGAACGGCUUCGACAGUGAGGAACGAAAGCUGGGGGAGCGAACGGGAUUAGAUACCCCGGUAGUCCCAGCCGUAAACUAUGCGCGUUAGGUGUGCCUGUAACUACGAGUUACCGGGGUGCCGAAGUGAAAACGUGAAACGUGCCGCCUGGGAAGUACGGUCGCAAGGCUGAAACUUAAAGGAAUUGGCGGGGGAGCACCACACCGGGUGGAGCCUGCGGUUUAAUUGGAUUCAACGCCGGG